AAAAAAUUAGUUUAAAAAAAACAGCUAAUUGCAAGUUAGCAGAUUAAGGUCUUUUAAUUUUUUU
rnacentral:tRNA from 1 species